AGCGAACGCUGGCGGCAUGCCUAACACAUGCAAGUCGCACGGGGGGGCUUCGGCCUCCCAGUGGCGGACGGGUGAGGAACGCGUAGGGACCUGUCGAGGGGUGGGGGAUAACCGCGGGAAACUGCGGCUAAUACCGCAUGACGCCGCGGCGUGACAGCCGGGGCCAAAGGCGAAAGCCGCCCGCCGAGGGGCCUGCGUCCGAUUAGCUGGUUGGCGGGGUAGCGGCCCACCAAGGCGUCGAUCGGUAGCUGGUCUGAGAGGGUGAUCAGCCACACCGGGACUGAGACACGGCCCGGACUCCCACGGGAGGCAGCAGUGGGGAAUAUUGGACAAUGGGCGCAAGCCUGAUCCAGCAAUGCCGCGUGGGUGAAGAAGGUCUGCGGAUUGUAAAGCCCUUUCGGCGGGGACGAUGGUGACGGUACCCGCAGAAGAAGCCCCGGCUAACUUCGUG
rnacentral:rRNA from 1 species